AUUUAAUUUUAAUAAUAUAUGCUACUUCAUUCAAUAUAUCCGAACUAUCAUCAUGUCAACAGAACAUUUCACUUCAGAGGAGCCGCCUCACAAGUGCUCACUGGUUCCAGAAGACCAACGGCUACCAUUCCGGACAGCACGGCUUUGGUGAAGGGCCCAAGCGGGAGUGAUUAAAAUCUACUCUUCCCUGACUCACAAGGGCUGAGACUCUGGUGAUAGCAGCCGCUCUACUGGCCUGCCUGCCCAAGACCUCGAUGUGUUAGCGCUUUGGUCCACCUGGGGGUUGAUGAUACAGGGCGGCCUGAGAGGAGCCCCGCAGCGCAGCACGAUGUCACUCGUGAGCUCAUGCGCAUGCGGGGCACUGGUUACACAGGACACCGGAAGAGACCAUGAGAACAGAGAGCAGCCUAGCCAGGUGUCUCCUUACGAGGAACUGUGACCGGUGGGACGUCAGAAACUGGCAUAAUCAUCAUGUGGUGAUGAAUCUGAUAGGAAAGACCCAAACCACUGAGCAAACAGAAGAAUAAAAGA